rnacentral:snRNA from 1 species
GGAUAUGAGGGUGAUCUGGCUGCGACAUCUGUCACCCUGAUCGCCAGGGUUGAUUUGGCUGAUCUAGCUGGCUAGGCGGGUGUCCUCUUCCUCCCUCACCACUCCAUGUGCGUCCCUCCCGAAGCUGCACGCUCGGUCAAAGAGGACGACCAUCCCCGAUAGAGGAGGACCGUUUUUUGGUCAAAGGUAUACAAGUAGCUGUGCUCCCCUGCUAGAACCUCCAAACAAGCUUUCAAGAAAUUGAAUUCUAGAGAACCAGCAGUUAGUGUAAUGGCUAUGUCGCUGGACUCCCACGUAGUCGACUGCGGUUCGCG